rnacentral:rRNA from 1 species
UACGUAGGGUGCGAGCGUUAAUCGGAAUUACUGGGCGUAAAGCGUGCGCAGGCGGUUCGUUGUGUCGGUGGUGAAAGCCCCGGGCUUAACCUGGGAAUGGCCAUGGAAACUGGCGAACUGGAGUGUGGCAGAGGGGGGUGGAAUUCCGCGUGUAGCAGUGAAAUGCGUAGAGAUGGGGGAGAACACUCGUGGCGAAGGCGGCCAGCUAGACCAGUUCUGACACUGAGGCGCGACGGCGUGGGGAGCAAACAGG